UACGAAGGGGGCUAGCGUUGCUCGGAAUUACUGAGCGUAAAGCGCACGUAGGCGGCUUCUUAAGUCGGUGGUGAAAUCCUGGAGCUCAACUCCAGAACUGCCUUCGAUACUGGGAAGCUCGAGUCCGGGAGAGGUGAGUGGAACUGCGAGUGUAGAGGUGAAAUUCGUAGAUAUUCGCAAGAACACCAGUGGCGAAGGCGGCUCACUGGCCCGGUACUGACGCUGAGGUGCGAAAGCGUGGGGAGCAAACAGG
rnacentral:rRNA from 1 species